rnacentral:rRNA from 1 species
GAAAGCAGGGGAUCGCAAGACCUUGCGCUAUUGGAGCGGCCGAUGUCUGAUUAGCUAGUUGGUGGGGUAAAGGCUCACCAAGGCGACGAUCAGUAGCGGGUCUGAGAGGAUGAUCCGCCACACUGGAACUGAGACACGGUCCAGACUCCUACGGGAGGCAGCAGUGGGGAAUUUUGGACAAUGGGGGCAACCCUGAUCCAGCCAUUCCGCGUGAGUGAAGAAGGCCUUCGGGUUGUAAAGCUCUUUCGGCAGGAAAGAAACGGUCACGGUUAAUACCCGUGACUUAUGACGGUACCUGAAGAAGAAGCACCGGCUAACUACGUGCCAGCAGCCGCGGUAAUACGUAGGGUGCGAGCGUUAAUCGGAAUUACUGGGCGUAAUGUGAAC